rnacentral:rRNA from 1 species
UACAGAGGGUGCAAGCGUUAAUCGGAAUUACUGGGCGUAAAGCGUGCGUAGACGGUUAUGUAAGUCAGAUGUGAAAGCCCCCGGCUCAACUGGGGAGGGUCACGCGAUACUGUUCGACUCGAAGGCAGGAGAGGGAAGCGGAAUUCCCGGUGUAGUGGUGAAAUGCGUAGAUAUCGGGAGGAACACCAGUGGCGAAGGCGGCUUCCUGGCCUGUUCUUGACGCUGAGGCGCGAAAGCUAGGGUAGCAAACGGG